AGCAAUUCUCGUGCCUCAGCUUCCCUAUUAGCUGAGACUCCAGAUUUUUCAUGGACAUAGCACGUGGAGUUCCUUCAGAACAAGUUUAACAGGUCAGAAUUUGGUAUCAGAGCCUGAUCAGAGUCAGAAAUGCAUUCACACAAAGAGGGAGCCUCGUGUGCAGCAUUGGAGCACAAAAGUGGGCAGAGAAACAUUUAAGUGGUGGAGAUGGAAGAAGAAAAUCAACCUGGAUGAGACCCCAGACAGACUGAGGAGAACAUCCAUCCAAAGAUUAUUGACCUAUGCGCUUCAUUAUCAGAACAUGAUAAUACAUGUAGAGCAGAGCACUGUGUACCAGUUACUAAUGCCAGAAGAGGACUCUCACAAUAUGGAGGAUAAUGAAGAUCAUCACAAUACUAGCCACCAGGAAUAGAAGUGCAGAUACUUCUGCCUACUGUCUCCUGGUAUUGGAGUUACCAACAAAACACAAGUCAAGUACUUGGUGGAAAAUUACUUUACUCACAAAAAGAUACAGAGCAAGAUCAGUUUCAAUAGUGGACAUCCGCCACCACAUUCCCCCCUGGAAGACAAUGCAGGGAAAGUGGCCUAUGAGCACCCCAUUAGUGCUGUGGUAGAGGGAUCUUGACACCUCCUCCGGGAAGUCUGAAAUAUCAAAAACUAGGGGCAUGCCUGAGGGCCACUGAAACACAAUGCUUAAGCAGAACAAAGCCAUACUCAUUGAGUCUGAAACAGUAAGAUACUUUCUCACUAAAUCUAAACCUAGGACAGGUACUGCCUUUCCCAAUACAACAGAUUUUAGUAAAUCCUCCAAAUUUGUUUUACUUUGUUCCACUUGUUUCGGUAAUUAUCUAUGCUGUCCCUUUCUAUAUAAAAUUAGCAUAAGCUAGUCAAUACAACAAAAGUACAUACAGGGAAUUAGAUUGGGUUUGCAUUCAUUCUAUAGGUCAAUUAGAGAAUAAUAAACAUUAUAAAAAUAGUGAAUAUUCCAUUCCAUGAAAUCGAUAUAUUUAUUCAUUUACUAAGACAUUUUUGAUUUCUUAGUCAGCAUUUGUAGAUAACAUGCAAAUCCUGUAUCUAUUUUUGUUAACUUUAUACCUACAUAUUUUAUUUUUCCUGAUGCUAUUGUAACUAUUACUUUAAAAAUUAAUUUCCAUGUGCCUAUAGUCCCAACUUCUUGGAACAUUGAGGCAAAAGGCUCACUUAGGCCCAGGAGGGAGUUUGAGUCUAGCCCGGGCAACACAGAACCCCACCUCUAAAAAUUAAAUUAAGUUAAAAUAAAAAAAAAUUUCCAGUUGUUCAUGCCCAUUAUGCAAAUAUGUAAUUGAACUAGUACCCUGGAACAUUCCAAAAUUAUUUUACUAAAUCUGGAGAUUUUGUUAUAGAUCUAUAGACUAUGAAUACAUAUGCAAAUAUCUUGCUUAUAUAAAUAGACUUAUUUUACCAUUUUUAUUCUCUAUGAUUCUUAUUUCUUUGUCUCGUUUUAUUUCACUUACUAGGACUUUUGAAACUAGUGAGAGAGAUCAACAUUGCCUUGAUCCUGAUCUGAAGGGAUAAGUUUACAUGUUCUUUACUCAUGUGUUGAGUUGGUUGAUGAGCUUGUUGAAUGCAUACUUCAUCACUUUUACUGUGUUUUUUUAUUUCUAACAUUUUCAUUAGACUUUAGUAUUUACAGUUUCUACCAGUCCAUUGGUAAUCACACAUCUAAUCUUUUGUGAUAUUCACUUUUUCCAUAAUUGUAUUUAACAAAUUAAUCAGUUUUUUAAAUUUUCUGAAGAGAUUAUUACAACUUCUGUGUCAUAUCUAAGUCUAGUUUAGUUGGUUGCUUUGUCUUACAGCUCUCUGUUACUUUUUUGUGUGCCUUGUAUUUUGGCUAAAAUGUAUACAACUUUUGUUACUAAUAAAAAUGGGCUAUCUUAUCUCUUCUAUUUAUGUAUGUUUUUAUGUUUCCCCACAAUAUA